rnacentral:tRNA from 1 species
GGACAUGUAGCUCAGUUGGUUAGAGCACAGCACUCAUAAUGCUGGGGUCGGUAGUUCGAAUCUACCUAUGUCCACCA